ACAAUGCAAGUUAAUGACAGUCAUAUCCCGUGGCUAUUGGUUUGUUCCAAGUCACGUGACUUUCAAGGUUCCGGCGGUCAGAACAAAAAACAUGGCGGACAGUUCUCUCAUUUUUAGUGAAAAAAAAAUCAAUAUUUUGACUUAGUUUCUGCAUAAAAAUGGAUUUUGAUCACAUUUCUAGCGAGAAA